rnacentral:rRNA from 1 species
AUGGUUUUUUUUCAUCGGAGCGGGCGGCGGAAGGCGGAGGGCGCAUCGGAGAGGGGCCUCUUCCUCGCGGCGGCAGCGGCAACGGCGGGCUUGUUCCUCGCGGCGGCAGCGGCGGGCUUGUCCCUUGCGGCGGUGGUGGCGGCGCGGCUGCGUGGGGGAAGGGAAGCAGCUGCGGCAAUGGCCGCGUGGGCGAAGAGAAGCGGCUUCGGUAGCAGAGGGGCGCAAGGUCUGCUGCCGCAACAGACGCCUAGGGUUCCACCUUCUCCAACCCUAACCAGCUCUGCCGCAGCCAACGAGAUCUCGCUCUCACCGUCAACACCAGCAAAGGCUUCAACCCUUAAGAUUGAUCUCCCCUCUGUCCUUACCUCCAUCCACGUGUCCCUCCAUUAA